GCCUUAGUAGUAUAACUAAUACACUGGUCUUGUAAACCAGAAAUGGAGACGUACAUCCCCCUAAGACA
rnacentral:tRNA from 1 species